rnacentral:lncRNA from 1 species
AAGAUACAAACUCCGCAAACGGUUACUAAGGAGAGGGUGGUAGGAAUGGGCGUUCCUUCGAAAAACUGAGACUUGCCAGAUCCAUCUUUAGGAAUGGAAUUGACAGAAACAUUAAAACGAGCCAAUCUAGUUAGACCACACAAAACAAAAAGGGAAAGUAUAACGGUAUCAAGGAACGUUUGGAAUCCACAACAAAAGGCAAAGACGGCUGGAGAUACGCCAAAUGAAAUCUAUUUUGUUAGUAUAAUGAUAUAAAAAGACCGGAUAAGAGAGAGAAAAAAUAUAUAUAAUCAAGAAUUAUACGCAAUCGCAUGUUUAUUGAGAAAAAUUCAGACUCAUUGAACAAACCGACAUAAUGUAAAAAACGAGAAGCAAAAAAAAAAAGCUCGACUUAGCUAAAAUGAAGAAAAAAUUCAACCAAAGAAGCCUCUUAUCAUGUUCCUCGUGUUUUUAUCAUGUCAAAGCAACCAAUGUGAAAAUAGUCUCGGAACAGAUUUGAGAAGUUAUACAUACCAGAUCAGCAAGACUAUCCAAUUCCUGACCCAUUAAGGAAGAUUUCCCACGCCAACGAGCCACUUUACCAUCCAAAAAGUCAAAAAACAACGCAAAUGGCAUAAAGUACAUUGCAUUCCAUAAAUGGAAAGCUGAUUGCUGUCCGCUUAGGCAGUAACGUAAACUUGAAAAUAUACUCAUGACACCGCAAAACCCGUUCAUUAAAGUAAUCAAGUCUGCAAGGUGGAGGGCUCUACAAUCCUCUAGUUAGUAUUUCAAGUAAUGAAUCCUUUUGCAAAGUCCUUUCGCAAUGGUGUAAACAAGAAUACGUAAAUCAUACCUAAUGAGUGAAAAAUGUCUAUUAUCAUUUACGUAGGCCAGUAACUUGUUCUCUUUAUCAUUGCUUUGGUUUGAUGCAUCGGAUUGUAAUUUCAAUCCAGGAGAAACUCGUGAUCUAACCAUCUUCCAAAAUUGGCAGUUUCUGGUUCUAAUUGUACCUGUUUAUUUACCGGAAGUCGAAUAACUAACAAAAAUAAGGCACCGCAGGGUAUCGUUAUGGUUGUGAUUGAGAAUUGUCUAGAAAUGCUUAGCGAUCCAGGCUUUGGAAUUCUUAUCAAUCUUUUAAUGUUUAUUUAUUAGCAUCGUUAAAACAGCAUUGUGCGUUCUGUUAUUUGAAUAAAAGUCGAAAAAGCUAAUCAAUGAAUAUAAAACGAGCGAAGUGUUUAAACUAUUUUCCAAGCUAAAUAUGGUGGUUUGUGGUUUUGAAUUACAUGAAGAAAAUAAGAAGAGGGAACGUACCACCGCUGAUAGGGGAUGCGGCAAUUUGUUGUAUGAUCCAGAUAUGUGUGCAUAAGGCAGUAGAAGGCAUCGAAGCAAGAUGAUUAAAAACCGAGUAAUGAAUGACCUUUGACAGUGUAUAUAGUACGUCUCAUUUAAAAUUCCAAGUUGGACCCAACUCAAAAAGAAACAAAUAUCACGAUCACAUUAAGGGCCAUUUUUCAUCUAACUUUCUAUUGUUAUUCGACUGGCAAAAAAUUGGGCUGUUGUGGGAAUCGAACCCACGACCACCAUCACCCUAAGAUGGU